rnacentral:rRNA from 1 species
AUUGAACGCUGGAGGCAGGCCUAACACAUGCAAGUCGAACGAGUGGCGGACGGGUGAGUAAUGUCUGGGAAACUGACUGAUGGAGGGGGAUAACUACUGGAAACGGUAGCUAAUACCGCAUACCAUCAGAUGUGCCCAGAUGGGCUUAGCUAGUUGGUGGGGUCACGGCUCACCAAGGCGACGAUCCCUAGCUGGUCUGAGAGGAUGACCAGCCACAAUGAAACUGAGACACAGUCCAGACUCCGACGAGAGGCAGCAGUAGGGAAUAUUGCACAAUGGGCGCAAGCCAGAUACAGCCAUGCCGCAUGUAUGAAGAAGGCAUUCGGGUUGUAAAGUACUUUCAGCGAGGAGGCGUUACCCGCAGAAGAAACACCGGCUAACUCCAUGCCAGCAGCCGCGGUAAUAC